UACGUAGGGGGCGAGCGUUGUCCGGAAUUAUUGGGCGUAAAGGGCUCGUAGGCGGCUUGACACGUCCGGAGUGAAAACUCGGGGCUUAACCCCGAGCCUGCUUCCGAUACGGGCAGACUAGAGGUAUGCAGGGGAGAACGGAAUUCCUGGUGUAGCGGUGAAAUGCGCAGAUAUCAGGAGGAACACCGGUGGCGAAGGCGGUUCUCUGGGCAUUACCUGACGCUGAGGAGCGAAAGUGUGGGGAGCGAACAGG
rnacentral:rRNA from 1 species